GCCCCUGUAGCCCAACGGCAGAGGCGGGCUCCCUAAAAGAGCCAGUGUGUCGGUUCGAGUCCGACCAGGGGCA
rnacentral:tRNA from 5 species